GAGCUCCUGUGUUUUCUGUUACCAAGAUAAACCAGCAAAACUCCAGAAAUGUGCCUGGAUGUGUCCAGUGUUUGUUGAUUAUUGCCUGUAUUGCCAAGAUAGCAAUGGACUUCUGACUGUUGGGAUCUGUCUAGGUUGUAUUCAGUCAGUGGAGCUCCUGUGUUUUCUGUUACCAAGAUAAACAAGCAAAACUCCAUAAAUGUACCUGAACACACCUCGCUUCCGGAACAUUUUAGAUGCAUUUAAGAAAAUUUAAGAAAGUCAAGAUGGCGUAAUGACCCACAUCAGCAUCUCAGAACAACACUGUUGUGCUGAGGUUGUCUCCUGUCUAGUUUCUGCUGUAUAGCUGUGAUAGAACAGGAUGUGGGGGGUUUGGGGAAGUUUAAACCCACAGCAGACGUCUAAUCAGCAGCUAUAAACACUUACUUUCCUCUCAGUCAGAGACACACAUACAAUCACCCUCUCACAGCAAUGGAGAAAAUCUCACCUCUGUUUAUUCUACAGAUCCUGCUGGGUAUCUGUAAACUCUGUGCUCCUCAGAACAUCUCAGCUGAUCUCAGAUCUGUGUCUCCUGGAGAAAACAUCACCCUGCACUGCAGUGUUUCUGCAGAUUAUGAGAUUUCAUGGUUUCAUCAGAACUCUGAGCAGCAGAUGAAGCUGCUGAUCUCUGCUGCACGAGGAAAACUGACUAAAUCAUUUUCUCAAAAUGAUAAAGUAAAUGGUGAUCAUUAUGAUAUUACUGAGAACAGCAGUUCAGUGAGUUUAGUGAUUAUAGGAGUUAAUGAUACAGAUAUAGGUCUGUAUUACUGUGGAGGAAGAAACAACUCAUCACUCUUACGGUUCGGGAAACCAAUCAGAAUCACCUUUAAUUCAGGUAAGUGCUCUGAAGUUAUUACAACCUGUACCGUGUCUCCUGUAAUGGUGUGGUAUACAUUUGCAAGAAAAAGUACUUAGAUUUCUGCAUAAAUUGGUGAUUAAAUGUGUUCUGAUCUUCAUCUAAAUCACAACAAUAGACAAACACAGUCUGCUUAAACUAAAACCAGACGAAAAAUGAUAUGUUUGCAUGAUUUUAUUGAACACAACAUGUUAAUAUUCACAGUGAGGGGAAAAAGUAUGUGAACCCCUCGGCUAAUGACUUUUCUAAGAGCUAAUUGGAGGCAGGAUGUGAUGAGAUGUGAUUGGAUGUGUUGGUUAAAGCUGCCCUGCUCUAUAAAAACCUAAACACACCAGUUUUGAGUUAGCUGUUUGCAAAAGAUCAAGCUCUCAGAAGACCUACAUUCAAGAAUUGUUGACUUGCAUGAAGCUGAAAAGGGUUACAAAAGUGUCUCUAAAAGCCUUGAUGUUCACGUGUCCACGGUAAGACAGACGCUCUACAAAUGGAGAAAGUUCAGCACUGUUGCUGCUACUCUCUCUAGGCGUGGUAAAGUCCUGUAAAGAUGACUGUAAGAGCACAGCGCAGAAUGAUCAAUGAGGUGAGGAAGAAUCCUAGAGUGUCAGCUGAAGACUGAAUACAGAAAUCUCAGGAGGAUCAACCAGUUAUUAAAUCCAAAGCUUCACAUACUUUUCCCCUCACUGUGAAUGUUAACAUGUUGUGUUCAAUAAAACCAUGCAAAAAUAUAAUGUUUUGUA
ensembl:lncRNA